rnacentral:rRNA from 1 species
CCUACGGGAGGCUGCAGUGGGGAAUCUUCCGCAAUGGGCGAAAGCCUGACGGAGCAACGCCGCGUGAUCGAAUGAAGGCCUUCGGGUUGUAAAGCUCUGUUGUCAGGGACGAAUCAGCAAUGCGAAUAGUUUUGUGUAUGUCGGUACCUGUUUAGAAUGCUCUGGCUCAAUACGUGCCACCAGCCGCGGUAAUAAGUUGGGAGCAAGCUCUGUCCGGAUUUACUGGGCGUAAAGGGCGGGUGGGUGGGCGCUUAAGUCAGGUGGGAAAACGCCGGGCCCAACCUGGUGACUGCACUUGAAACUGGGUGGCUUGAGGGCAGGAGAGGUAAGUGGAAUGCGUGGUGUAGCGGUGAAAUGCUUAGAUAUCA